GCCUCCUUAGCUCAGUGGUAGAGCAACGGUUUCGUAAACCGUAGGUCGUCGGUUCAAAUCCGACAGGAGGCUCCA
rnacentral:tRNA from 2 species